GUAAUCUAUGUCGUGUGGUGAUUCACAUCGCAGAAUUUGCAACCAUGGGUUUUUGUAAUGUUAAUUUGAUUUUGUUUAAAUUGAGUGCUCUAGUGUACAAAUAUUUAUCUGAAUUGGCGAUAAAAUUAUUUGCAGGCUUUCGAUGUCAAUAAAGAAACAUGUAUAUGAUGAAAGGUUAUGGGAAUGCUUUGGCUGUAUGGCCGUACAAGGUGAUUUGGGUAACAGAUUCUUAACAUUGCUCCUCAAUAGUUGAGGAGGGAUGAUGGUAGUCAAGAGCAGUUGCGAUUUGAGGUUUUUCAUCUUUUUCAAUCAUUUGUGCAAUACUCUGCACAUCAUUGGG